CCUACGGGUGGCAGCAGUGGGGAAUAUUGCACAAUGGGGGAACCCCUGAUGCAGCGACGCCGCGUGAGUGAAGAAGUACUUCUUGAUGUUAAGCUCUAUCAGCAGGGAAGAAAAUCACGGUACGUGAGUAAGAACUCCCGGCUAACUACGUGCCAGCAGCCGCGGGCAAACGUAGGGGGCAAGCGUUAUCCGGAUUUACUGGGUGUAAAGGGAGCGUAGGCGGGAGUGCAAGUCUGGAGUGAAAGGCGGGGGGUCAACCCUCGGACUGCUGUGGAAACUGGACGGCUGGAGUGCAGGAGAGGUAAGUGGAAUUCCUGGUGUAGCGGUGAAAUGCGUAGAUAUUACGCAGAACACCGGUGGCGAAGGCGGCUUACUGGACUGUAACUGACGUUGAAGCUCGAAAGCGUGGGGAGCGAACAGGAUUAGAUACCCGGGUAGUC
rnacentral:rRNA from 1 species